GUUGGAAAAGCACUGCCAGAAUAAUUUGCUUAGAAUGAAGAGGGGAAAGGACAUGCCUGUUCUGGUUUUGUUUUGGGUUUUUUUGUUGUUGUUGGUUUUUUUUUUUUUUUUCUUAUUUUUAAGAGUUCUCUCAUUUUUCCAAAAGCAGUACCAAGGCUUGUCGAUACACAUCAAUCUGAAACUGAAACCUUAACAAGCAAGAACUGAUGGAUACAUAGCCAGCAAAAUUUCAAGUUCCCUUCUGAUAAAAUUCUGUCUUUCAACAGCUGUUUUAAGAGUUAGCUUUGCACUAGAGUGAAGAAGAGGUGGCAAGGAACAUUCCCUGAUGUACUGUCAAACAAAACAACUUCACUUACAAUGUGGUUUGUUUGAAUUCAGUUUCAUGUAAAUUUGAAAUAAGCAUGCCCCUUCUUUUCUAAAAAACAGUCAGUAUUGUCCUGCAUUUUUGUACUACCCAUCAUAGUUAAUAACACACUCUCAGUGUGCCCAGCUGUAUUUAGCAGAAACUAGUUCAAACCCAGCACAGAGAAAUUCUGCCCUAGAAGUCAGAUAUAUUAAUUAGUUAAUAAGUGAAGAGCUGAAGGAACAAGCUUGACAAGAAAAUUCUAAGUGAUGUUGUCAGGACAGGGACUCAGCAUGAUCCCAGCAAGAGAAACCACCAGGGAGAGAGAAAAUUUCCUGCCUAACAUGCAAGGUGUUCAACACAAGAGAGGAGCAGAGCAAAGCAGGACUUUGCCCUGCCUGGAACGGAUGUGAACUUCUGAUCAUUAAAAAAAAAAAAAAAGGAGGAUGACUGACAACUGAUGAAAACAAUUUCCUCUAUCAAAGCUGGAGGUCUCACAAUUAGAAAAGCUUAGGGCAACUACAUGACUUUCUCCCCUUCUAGGUUUUGUGGGUUUGUUUAGGCAUUACUUUACAUUACUGCAUUAUUCCUGUGCUUUUCAGCCUGAAAUGACUUUCUGGUUGUGUGCUGAGACCUCUGCCCUGCAAGCUGAUCCAUGAAGUCAGAUCAGAGAAGUUUCUGCAGAGUCAAGGGGCUGCUCUGGCGAUAGGGCUCCCCAAGAUGAGGGUGUUGGAGAUGCCAUGGAGCCAAGUGACAGUGGAGGAAGACGGCUCCUACCCAGGAAAACACGUGCCACGUGAAAGAAAGGGAUUAACCCUUGAAUUCAAAAAGGUAAGAGGGGAUUUUUAAUUGACAAACAAAAUGAAGAAGGGAUUGACUUGAACACCCAUGAUUUGUGAGAAUGCAUAACAGCACUGCACAGAAUUUGCAGCAGUUCUAAAAGAGGUAAGAAAACCUAUCCAAAAAAAAAGAAAAAAAAAAAAUCAAUAAAACACCAACACAAGUUGAUCUUGAUUUGUGUGUGGUUUUUGAAAGAAAAAAGGAUAAACAGGUGAUGUGUCAUUCUAUGUAACUCACAUAUUUCACGCCUUUGAAAUAUGUAACACUAUUUGUGUUGUUUGUGUUGGUGACAUGUCCUUACAACAUCACCUCAGAGGCCAACCAUGCUGUGCACACGUCACGGGAGCCAGUCCCAUGUGUCCCUGCACACACACACCCCUCCUCCCCAUUUCUAGACAAAAUAAACACAACAGGCAAAAGGUCUGAAGAGAGCCCACAAUUACAGAGCUGAAAUGUCCUUGUUUGCAGCGAGGCAGCAGUGAGGCAGCAUGCUGAUGGGAACCUCGCCCAGACAUACUCAGGCUCAACUCCACCAGGAGAUUUUACCACUUCUAAAGCCACUACUGAAUUUGGGAAGCCAGGGCUUUAUUUCAAAGCUGAAUAACCCUCCUUCCUUCCUUUUGAAAUGUGGACUGGAAGGACUGUCCACUUCUAAACAAUAACACAGUAUUUAAGGCUCAGUUCUCAGUUUGGGGAAGUGGAGGAGAGCAGGAGCAAGAGGAGAGGAAGCUCUGCCUUGCCUCCAGCGUGUUCAGCUCAUGCCACUGUAAAACUUCACAAAUGGGGACACAGGGGAGCCCAGCUCACUUGGGUGUUGAAAAUACAAAUACAUGAAAGACAGGAGAUGCUUGGACCACAUCAUAUACCACAAUAAGACCAACUGAUAAUUGUGCACUACUGUAUAGGGUCACUACAGGAGCAACCUCCAGCCCCCGUGUGCAAGGGCAGCUGCCUGGCCCUCCAUGCACACUUCUCCUGGAACUUUAAGGCUGUUGCUGCUUCUCCUGUCUUUUGAGGAGGUGAGGCGAUAAGGUAUUAGAGAAUACAAAUAAACAUGUCUGUUUCUUCCUGCCCCAGAUGAGGGAAGGUUGUGUACUGUGAAGUACCUGGCUGGUAUGCAAGCCCCCAGGAAAGGUUUAAGGGAAGCCAAAGAGGGUACAAAGGUGGAAGACCACGAUCCCCCACCUGUGGCAUGGCAGUAGGGUUUAGCAUCCAAAGUGGCUACAUUUUAUGUACUGACAGGGCUAAGAAAGCACCAUACAGAUUUUAAGGACAUACAGAAGAGCUCUGCUAACUGAUGAUUUAGUUCACAAACAAGCAUUUUCUAAUUAACUAAGCUGUUGCCCCCUUUCUUUUCCAAAUGAGGGAAGGUCAUAGCUUUCUUUGAGCAGCCUGGGACACAUAAAAAAGAACCUUCUCUGCAGCCUUUCAAAGCACUUGCCCCCAAAGAUGCUUUCCCAUCCUACUCCACACUCAAGGAUGUCUCAGAUCAACUGGUGCCAAGAAGGUGUGGCUGGAGACAUGCUGGGGCAUGGAGAUGUGCACAGGACAUAUUGAAAAGAGUUUGAUUCAAAAUCCCAGUAGAUUUGAUCAUCUGCAGUUUGGCCAGGGUAGGAGGUACAUGAUAUCUGUGUGUGUGUGUACGUGUGUGUAAGCCGAAAGGAUUAUCGCAACAGUAAGAAUUAGGUUAAAACUCUGAGCCAUUUGGGCUGAGAAGAGUAGGGUUUAAAAUGAAAGCUUCAAGCCACUUUUUAACAAUUUUUCCUUGAUUAUAAGAUACAAUGACAAAUUUGAGUUAAAAGCCUUCGUCUGAAAAGCAUGUAUGCUUAACAGGAGGAAGAAGGAAAACACCUUCAGAAGCAGUCAGCUUCCUGUCUUAUGUUUUUGAAGUCAAGCUGAUGGGUCACAGAACGGAUCUCAAAUAUGUAUAUAUAUAAUCCCCGCAGCUAAAAGUCGUCUAUUUUAAAAGACAAGUGUUUGCUCACCCUAGGAACAUUGUACUCAAGCUUCAGACUUUGUGAUCCAUAUGGGUUUUAUCAACUUGUUUGCCAGGAAUUUAAGAAAAACAAACUUUAUUCAUGUUCCUUAGAGAAUUUAAUCCACUUCAUGGUCUGCACAAAAAGAAAUACAGCUUCAGAAAAAAAAAAAAAAAAAAGCCCUGGGCAUUCCUGGAACUGGAAGGUCAGAGAGCCAAAAUAACGGAUCCACUUAGUAUGAGAAAUGAGUGACUUGCAGUGGCAUCAUUAUCAGCACUGGAAGUACAUGGUUUCAGCUUAGAAAGUGAUUUCAUGUCACAUCCCAUAAAGGAUCCCCAAACAAGAAGUGCUUUCACAAGCCCUCAACCAGGCACUGCCACUGCUUUGAGGGCAGUACUUACCUUAAAGAUGGGGUGUAUAAUCCACCAGAAGCAUGUGUUCCUGGAGACUUCCCUUUGAGGAGCUGAAGUUAGAUGAGAUGAGACCUAUUCCAUAUCAUCCUGUAACAUACCUUGGUAUAUUUGUUUGUAUAUAAAGAAUUUAGUUGUGUAACCCUAGGUUUGGUUUUCCAAGCUUGAUAAAAACCUGUGAACUUCUAUAUAAUUUAUCAGUAUUUUGUUUUCUGUAUCAUAAAGAACCGGCAGUUUCUGCAAAAUGUGUUAAUAUACAUUGCUGCUGCAAACAGAGGUGUUUAUCUCCAAUGACACUUGCUUUAAAAGUACAGUCUAAUACAGGAAAUAUAUAUUUUGAUUAAUUCUUAAAGCAAAUAAUUAUGCAGAUUAAUCCCUAUACUACCCAAAUUUACACAGGCAGCCUAACAUUAAUGCAUUGCAAGUCUUUAUGGUUACAACAUCGUAGCAUGGUAUCUCACCAGCUUUUAAAGAAAGCUGUAUUUCUGCUCCAGGAGUGGUUUGUUACAUUGAAUUAAUGUUGCAUUAGAACCCUUUCAGUAAGUCAAAUCACAUUACUCACUCGUAU